UGCCCCGUGGCUGAGUUGGUUACAGCGUCCGACUGUUAUUCAAAUAUCAAUCGGAAGGUCGUGAGUUCGAGCCUCAUCGGGGCAG